rnacentral:tRNA from 1 species
UGCCGAGUGGUGUAACGGUAGCACCAGGGACUUUGAAUCCCUUAGUCCAGGUUCGAACCCUGGCUCGGCAGCCA